UACAGAGGGUGCGAGCGUUAAUCGGAAUUACUGGGCGUAAAGCGCGCGUAGGCGGCUUUGCAAGUCGGGUGUGAAAUCCCCAGGCUUAACCUGGGAACUGCAUUCGAGACUGCAUUGCUAGAGUAUGGGAGAGGGAAGUGGAAUUUCCGGUGUAGCGGUGAAAUGCGUAGAUAUCGGAAGGAACAUCAGUGGCGAAGGCGAGUCCCUGGACAACUCCUGACACUGAGGCACGAAAGCUAGGGGAGCAAACAGG
rnacentral:rRNA from 1 species